CAAUUUCCUCUAACAUAUGCGGAUAAUAAUAUUUGAGUGACUGGAUUUUUACAUAGAAAUAUACUAUCUGCUACAAAGUAUUCCUCUUCUCCCCAGGCAUACCACCAUCCACGUCGGAGUCCCGACCCAGUUUGGACUCAGCCCUAGUGGAAAGGAAUAAGCAUGUUUGGGAGAAGGACCCAUAUCCAGAUGACCGGGACUGGUCCAGGAGCCAGGAACGGAGGACGUUCAAGUUCAAGGUUUUUAUUUUGUCAAAUGAACAACAAACAUGCAGUAGCAGUCUUUGCUGGCAGUGACAUUCCAGUGUUCUAGGCUCUUCUCGACAGUGCAAGUAAGAGUAGAAAGUACAAUUAAAUAAAUACAAUAAAAUAAAGAAAGAAAAUAAAAGAGUGAGAGUGAUAGAUGCGUGAGACCGAGGACAGUGAGGAACGGGAAGAGGAUGCAGAGGACCCUUUGGACGCGAUCGCUGUGAUCGUGAGUUUGUGAACAAGGUUGGGCUGGGUGCGACCCCUAGUGGUCAAUCUUAUCCGUUUUUAUUCUUCAAAUGUACUCCUAUCCAAUAUAUCUUCACAAAAAUAAGUACAAAUGCAGUGCCAGUAGAAAACAAACACAGCACCUUUUACAAAACAUAUUUAUUUUUAUAUAAGGAAAACAGAUUACAGUUGUGCACAGCACAUACGUACAAAAAUAAAGAAAAACAUUUAUAAUAUACUAUUUCACAUACACUUCAUCGUAAUCUUUUGUUUUCAAGACCAAAUGAUGAAGAAGGAUAGAGAAGUCUGCCGUUUCAAACUUUAUUUACAAUCAUCUUAAUAAUCCCAACUAAGGCAGAAGGUGAGGUAUACGCAAGGAGGGCCUCUGACUGCCUCUCCCAGUGCAGGAAUAGAAAACCCAGGUGAAAAGACCACGGCGGUGGGCACACACGCAGACACCAGUCCGAAGAGUUUCAGUCCAGGUGUUACCACAAAGGAGCCAAACUGGCGGCUGAACCGAUCAUUGAUAGAACUGACUGGAACUGGAGUCAAACCAGCUCUUUUUAGAAAUCUUUUCCUCCAAAAUUGACGGGGUUUUAAAAAUAAUCAGCAGAAUGUACUGAUAUACCACUACAUAUUGGAAGAAAACCCCUGUAUCUCUCCAUUGUCCUUUUGUGUCUUUUGUAACAUCCACAACCUUUUGAUUUAUUUUCUGUACACAUAACAUCAUAACAUAUUACAGCAUGACCCAGAAACCAUAUUGCCCACACAUUAAUACAAAUCACAUUGGGGAUUUUUCUUCUCUCGUGAUCAUGAAUGGAAAAUAAUAUUCAUCAAGCAUGAUUACACAUUGUCCAACAGAACCGAUCCCUGGAUGUGCAUCAUUUCCUGGACAAUGACAUCAGACGUCAUUGUGGUAUUCACUCCUAUUUUAAGAGUUGUGAAACACAGUUUUCAGUCUCUCACUCCGCCAUUCCUGGAAGUGUUUGAAUAUAUCUGACUAAGUAUUUUGCUACAUCCUCUUUCAUCCUCCUAUGUAUAUGAGGCCACCUGUUGUGCACCCCGUAGCUUGUGCAUGCUGGAGAUCCGACAUGCUAACCCGUCCGGACGAGAAUGCGGUAAUCACUUUGAAAGCACCGCUGUUAUUCCUGUCCCAAGGUAAGUGGAUCCAAAGACAUCCAAUCUUUCUUUGGCAAAACAAACACAAAUAAAUCAAGUUCAAACACCGCUCAACAUCACACAUCCGCCCACACUAACCUAGAAUAUUGCACUUUUGGAAGUGACAUCCGAUCCAUCCAUAAACUCUUAAAGUGAACCAUCACAUGCAUCACUUCUGAGCUGAGACUGCAACUUUCUAAAAGACUUAGAAAGUUAGUAGAUGAGGUAUAUAACAUGCUUAACUGUUGACAGCUAAAAGGUUUGAGCAUUCCAUAUAGCAAGCAAAUAGCAUUAAGAAGGAUUAUGCAAGGGAAAUAAAAUACAAAUGGUUAAAAAUAACAAAUGGCACUCACAAAUUACUGCUGAGAUUUCCGCCCAUUACAUCCCUGUCCCCGCUGACCUCAGGUGUUUAAGGGCCCGCUACAUCCCUGUCCCCGCCGACCUCAGGUGUUUAAGGGCCCGCUACAUCCCUGUCCCCGCUGACCUCAGGUGUUUGAGGGCCCGCUACAUCCCUGUGUCUCCACCGUGUAAAACCACAGGAUUUAAGCAACUGAGCAGGAAGGACCUACGACACAGCGACUGAGAGGAGUGACCUACGACAGAGCGACUGAGAGGAGUGACCUACGACACAGCGACUGAGAGGAGUGACCUACGACACAGCGACUGAGAGGAGUGACCUACGACACAGCGACUGAG
ensembl:lncRNA